rnacentral:rRNA from 1 species
AGCGAACGCUGGCGGCAGGCCUAACACAUGCAAGUCGAACGGUCCUUCGGGACAGUGGCGGACGGGUGAGUAACACGUGGGAACGUGCCUUUAGGUUCGGGACAACCCAGGGAAACUUGGGCUAAUACCGGAUGUGCCCUUCGGGGGAAGGAUUUAUUCGCCUUUAGUAGCGGCCCGCGUCUGAUUAGCUUGUUGGUGAGGUAA